GGCCUUGCGCUAACAGAUGAGCCCAAGUCGGAUUAGCUAGUUGGUAGGGUAAUGGCCUACCAAGGCGACGAUCCGUAACUGGUCUGAGAGGACGACCAGUCACACCGGAACUGAGACAUGGUCCGGACUCCUACGGGAGGCAGCAGUGGGGAAUAUUGGACAAUGGGGGCAACCCUGAUCCAGCGACGCCGCGUGGGUGAAGAAGGCCUGCGGGUUGUAAAGCCCUUUCGGUUGGGAAGAAAAGUUGCGACCUAACACGUUGCGACCUUGACGUAACCAACUAAAGAAGCACCGGCUAACUCUGUGCCAGCAGCCGCGGUAAUACAGAGGGUGCGAGCGUUAAUCGGAAUUACUGGGCGUAAAGCGCGCGUAGGCGGCUUUUCAAGUCGAUUGUGAAAUCCCCGGGCUUAACCUGGGAACUGCAGUCGAGACUGUCUAGCUAGAGUAUGGGAGAGGGAAGUGGAAUUUCAGGUGUAGCGGUGAAAUGCGUAGAUAUCUGAAGGAACAUCAGUGGCGAAAGCGACUUCCUGGACCAAUACUGACGCUCAUGUGCGAAAGCGUGGGGAGCAAACAGGAUUAGAUACCCUGGUAGUCCACGCCAUAAACGAUGAGAACUGGAUGUCGGAGGGGUCUGCCCUUCGGUGUCGUAGCUAACGCGUUAAGUUCUCCGCCUGGGGAGUACGGCCGCAAGGUUGAAACUCAAGGGAAUUGACGGGGACCCGCACAAGCGGUGGAGCAUGUGGUUUAAUUCGAUGCAACGCGAAGAACCUUACCUGGUCUUGACAUCCUAGGAACCUCGCAGAGAUGUGGGGGUGCCUUCGGGAACCUGGAGACAGGUGCUGCAUGGCUGUCGUCAGCUCGUGUCGUGAGAUGUUGGGUUAAGUCCCGCAACGAGCGCAACCCUUGCCCUUAGUUGCCAGCAUUAAGUUGGGAACUCUAAGGGGACCGCCGGUGACAAACCGGAGGAAGGUGGGGAUGACGUCAAGUCAUCAUGGCCCUUAUGACCAGGGCUACACACGUGCUACAAUGGCCAGUACAAAGGGUUGCCAACCCGCGAGGGGGAGCCAAUCCCAGAAAGCUGGUCGUAGUCCGGAUCGCAGUCUGCAACUCGGCUGCGUGAAGUCGGAAUCGCUAGUAAUCGUGAAUCAGCGAUGUCACGGUGAAUACGUUCCCGGGUCUUGUACACACCGCCCGUCACACCAUGGGAGUUGAUUGCACCAGAAGUAGGUAGCCUAACCGCAAGGAGGGCGCUUACCACGGUGUGGUCAAUGACUGGGGUGAAGUCGUAACAAGGUA
rnacentral:rRNA from 1 species